GUAACACGUGGGUAACCUGCCCAUCAGAGGGGGAUAACAUUCGGAAACGGAUGCUAAAACCGCAUAGGUCCUUUAACCGCAUGGUUGAAGGAGGAAAAGAGGCGCAAGCUUCUGCUGAUGGAUGGACCCGCGGCGCAUUAGCUAGUUGGUGAGGUAACGGCUCACCAAGGCCGUGAUGCAUAGCCGACCUGAGAGGGUGAUCGGCCACAUUGGGACUGAGACACGGCCCAAACUCCUACGGGAGGCAGCAGUAGGGAAUCUUCCGCAAUGGACGCAAGUCUGACGGAGCAACGCCGCGUGAGUGAAGAAGGUUUUCGGAUCGUAAAACUCUGUUGUUAGAGAAGAACAAGUGCUAGAGUAACUGUUAGCGCCUUGACGGUAUCUAACCAGAAAGCCACGGCUAACUACGUGCCAGCAGCCGCGGUAAUACGUAGGUGGCAAGCGUUGUCCGGAUUUAUUGGGCGUAAAGCGAGCGCAGGCGGUUCCUUAAGUCUGAUGUGAAAGCCCCCGGCUCAACCGGGGAGGGUCAUUGGAAACUGGGGAACUUGAGUGCAGAAGAGGAGAGUGGAAUUCCAUGUGUAGCGGUGAAAUGCGUAGAUAUAUGGAGGAACACCAGUGGCGAAGGCGACUCUCUGGUCUGUAACUGACGCUGAGGCUCGAAAGCGUGGGUAGCAAACAGGAUUAGAUANCCUGGUAGUCCACGCCGUAAACGAUGAGUGCUAAGUGUUGGAGGGUUUCCGCCCUUCAGUGCUGCA
rnacentral:rRNA from 1 species